rnacentral:rRNA from 1 species
UACGUAGGGUCCGAGCGUUGUCCGGAAUUAUUGGGCGUAAAGGGCUCGUAGGCGGUCUGUCGCGUCGGGAGUGAAAACUUACAGCUUAACUGUGAGCGUGCUUCCGAUACGGGCAGACUUGAGGUAUUCAGGGGAGAACGGAAUUCCUGGUGUAGCGGUGAAAUGCGCAGAUAUCAGGAGGAACACCGGUGGCGAAGGCGGGUCUCUGGGCAACAACUGACGGCUGAGGAGCGAAAGCGUGGGAGCAACAGGAUUGAGAA